AUUGAACGCUGGCGGCAGGCCUAACACAUGCAAGUCGAGCGGAUGAAGGGAGCUUGCUCCUGGAUUCAGCGGCGGACGGGUGAGUAAUGCCUAGGAAUCUGCCUGGUAGUGGGGGAUAACGUCCGGAAACGGGCGCUAAUACCGCAUACGUCCUGAGGGAGAAAGUGGGGGAUCUUCGGACCUCACGCUAUCAGAUGAGCCUAGGUCGGAUUAGCUAGUUGGUGGGGUAAAGGCCUACCAAGGCGACGAUCCGUAACUGGUCUGAGAGGAUGAUCAGUCACACUGGAACUGAGACACGGUCCAGACUCCUACGGGAGGCAGCAGUGGGGAAUAUUGGACAAUGGGCGAAAGCCUGAUCCAGCCAUGCCGCGUGGGUGAAGAAGGUCUUCGGAUUGUAAAGCACUUUAAGUUGGGAGGAAGGGCAGUAAGUUAAUACCUUGCUGUUUUGACGUUACCAACAGAAUAAGCACCGGCGAACUUCGU
rnacentral:rRNA from 1 species